UACGGAGGGUGCAAGCGUUAUCCGGAUUCACUGGGUUUAAAGGGUACGUAGGCGGGUAAGUAAGUCAGUGGUGAAAUCUUCAAGCUUAACUUGGAAACUGCCAUUGAUACUAUUUAUCUUGAAUGUUCUGGAGGUCAGCGGAAUAUGUCAUGUAGCGGUGAAAUGCUUAGAUAUGACAUAGAACACCUAUUGCGAAGGCAGCUGACUACGGAAAUAUUGACGCUGAGGCACGAAAGCGUGGGGAUCAAACAGG
rnacentral:rRNA from 1 species